CGUAGCGCUUCGCUAGCGCCGCCGCUGCUGCGGAGGCUGUGUGUGAAGUUGAAGCGGCCGGGGCGCUCGUACCUAAGGUGCCAGGAUUCUCCAAGGAACUAAAAUAAAUAAAAAGGAAAACACAAUUUUGAUGUGCUCCAUCUGCUGUGAUUUCAACAGAUGCUCCAAGUAGAUGCUCUGAGAAUAGGACCCAAAAAGUAAGCGCCAAACCUCCCUUCUCCAGAAAAUUAACUCUGCGCACCUCCAGCCCACUAGCACCUUCCCAGCCAGUAUUUAUCUCUAACCACACUUUUGAAGAAUCACGCCGCACAUAUUAGGUUUGAAGAAAAGAAGAGAGAGACUUCACCUUAAAUGCAUAGCCUUGACCUGUGUCAGGGCAGCACCAGAGUACUGCCAUUUCGAUGGCACCUAAAACCACGUGGGCAUGAUGAUGCUUUUUUCUGAGCCAUCCUCCGAAAGUGAUUUUUGAGAAAGGAAAAUGAGACAGCUGGAUCACAACAUUAUAAAUGAAGAUCUGUGUCAAUGUUGUGGUUCACGGUCAGCUGCUUUCCCUUUGUCUCUCGGAAUAAAAACCCGUGCUGGGAAGAAAUCUACAAAAGGCAGGCACUGAAGUGAGGACGAGUGGACAUGGAAGGUCUCCAUGAGCCCAGUGAGGUGGGGAGAUGACGAGACAGUUUAGAGGCAAACCUGGGGGUCUCUGAUUCCACGACACUCUGCGCCAUGCCUGAGAAUGGAAGCUUUCCUUCCCAUGGGGUGAUGAUGAGAACUGUAAAGUUUUAGAAGAACAAAAGCAUACUCUCUGACGUGUACCUUCACGCCUGGUAAAAGGAAAAAGAGCUGACAGACCCCCAUCUCUGAGUCUGCUCACACAGGCACUGCAAGACCUCUGGUGGCCAGUGAGUGCGUGGGGCCUAUGCCAUGGCUUUGUCGUCUGUAAAAUAAUGGUGUAUGAAACUAAGCCUACAGUCAGCCUCAAAUCUGGCACAGCAAUUUCUGACUUUGACCUUUUUUCAAAUACGUGUCUAUGUGAAUAACAACUAUCUGAAAGGUUUUUUUUGUUGUGGAAAACUGGGAUAAGCCGCUUUGUUGCCUUGUGCCCUGGCUGUUAGGAUGUCGAAUCAACAUUUUAUCAUUAUCAAGUCCUGCUGUCAUUCUCCAAAAGGCUGUCCUCCCAAACCAUUAGUAAUGAUUUGACAGAUAAAGUAUUAAUAUGACAUGGUAAAAUGCUUGUUUCUGUCUACAAAUAUAAAAUUUGAUAUUAUAAUGAUAUAUUGGAUCUCUUUCUUUGUAGGACACGUAGAGAUUACCAUUUCCAAAAUCUAGUAGGGACCUUAUCACAUUUAAGCAAAGCUGUUUUUAGUUCUACUUAGAAAAUAGUAUGCUUUAUAUGAGAUCUCAAGCCACUCCUUUAGCAUUUACACAAUUACGUUCUCUCUUAAUGCUUUUUCUUUGGCUGAUGAGAGAAGAUUGGUGCUGACAUACAUACUUCCCACAAUUUCUAAAUGUAAAUUGUCACUUGCAGUCAAUGGCAAACACUUACCCAUUGGGCUUGCAAUAAUGAAAAUAAAGUUUAUUAUCUUAUGUGCUAUCCUUAUUCAAAGAUGAUUCAGCCAUCCAUAUAUUUGAGAACUGCUCUUACUUAUCAGUAUAAUGUUUUAGGAGAGUAGAAUUGUAUGUGAAUUCUGUUUCUGAUUCCCUGUA